rnacentral:rRNA from 1 species
UACAGAGGGUGCGAGCGUUGUCCGGAAUCACUGGGCGUAAAGGGCGCGUAGGCGGCUCAGUAAGGUUGCGGUGAAAGCCCGGGGCUCAACCCCGGGUCGGCCCGGUGGCAACUGCUGGGCUGGAGCACUGUAGAGGCGGUGGAAUUCCGGGUGUAGCGGUGGAAUGCGUAGAGAUCCGGAAGAACACCGGUGGCGAAGGCGGCCUGCUGGGCAGUAGCUGACGCUGAGGCGCGACAGCGUGGGGAGCAAACGAGG